rnacentral:rRNA from 1 species
GGCCGCGGGAAUUCCAUUCAGGCCUACACAUGCAAGUCGAGCGGUAGAGAGACCCUUGCUUCUCUUGAGAGCGGCGGACGGGUGAGUAAUGCCUAGGAAUCUGCCUGGUAGUGGGGGAUAACGUUCGGAAACGGACGCUAAUACCGCAUACGUCCUACGGGAGAAAGCAGGGGACCUUCGGGCCUUGCGCUAUCAGAUGAGCCUAGGUCGGAUUAGCUAGUUGGUGAGGUAAUGGCUCACCAAGGCGACGAUCCGUAACUGGUCUGAGAGGAUGACCAGUCACACUGGGACUGAGACACGGUCCAGACUCCUACGGGAGGCAGCAGUGGGGAAUAUUGGACAAUGGGCGUUAGCCUGAUCCAGCCAUGCCGCGUGUGUGAAGAAGGUCUUCGGAUUGUAAAGCACUUUAAGUUGGGAGGAAGGGCAGUUACCUAAUACGUGAUUGUUUUGACGUUACCGACAGAAUAAGCACCGGCUAACUCUGUGCCAUCAGCCGCGGUAAUACAGAGGGUGCAAGCGUUAAUCGGAAUUACUGGGCGUAACGCGCGCGUAGGUGGGUAGUUAAGUUGGAUGUGAAAUCCCCGGGCUCAACCUGGGAAC